rnacentral:rRNA from 1 species
CCUACGGGCGGCAGCAGUGGGGAAUAUUGGACAAUGGGCGAAAGCCUGAUCCAGCCAUGUCGCGUGUGUGAAGAAGGCCUUCGGGUUGUAAAGCACUUUCAGUGGGGAAGAAAGCCUUGGGGCUAAUACCCUCGAGGAAGGACAUCACCCACAGAAGAAGCACCGGCUAACUCCGUGCCAGCAGCCGCGGUAAUACGGAGGGUGCGAGCGUUAAUCGGAAUUACUGGGCGUAAAGCGCGCGUAGGCGGUCUGAUAAGCCGGUUGUGAAAGCCCCGGGCUCAACCUGGGAACGGCAUCCGGAACUGUCAGGCUAGAGUGCAGGAGAGGAAGGUAGAAUUCCCGGUGUAGCGGUGAAAUGCGUAGAGAUCGGGAGGAAUACCAGUGGCGAAGGCGGCCUUCUGGACUGACACUGACGCUGAGGUGCGAAAGCGUGGGUAGCAAACAGGAUUAGAUACCCCAGAGUC